rnacentral:rRNA from 1 species
UACAGAGGGUGCGAGCGUUAAUCGGAUUUACUGGGCGUAAAGCGUACGUAGGCGGCUUUUUAAGUCGGAUGUGAAAUCCCUGAGCUUAACUUAGGAAUUGCAUUCGAUACUGGGAAGCUAGAGUAUGGGAGAGGAUGGUAGAAUUCCAGGUGUAGCGGUGAAAUGCGUAGAGAUCUGGAGGAAUACCGAUGGCGAAGGCAGCUACCUGGGCCAACACUGACACUGAGGCACGAAAGCGUGGGGAGCAAACAGG